CUGAUAGCUUUGGCAGCACAUAUACUAAAAUUGGAAUGAUAUGGAGAAGAUUAGCAUGGCCCCUGCCAAGGAUGAUACACCAAUUUGUGAAGUGUUCCAUAUUUUU
ensembl:snRNA U6 U6 spliceosomal RNA